AUCUCUUUCGAUUCUAAGGUUUCGUUGGCUCUCAGCUUUCCAGUCCGUUUCGAACCAGUUGGUUGGGCUGAUUGGGGGCAGCCAUGGAAGAUCAGAGUUCACUGUUCUGCAUGCGUGGGGAGCCGUCGAUUUUCGUUUGGGGAGGCGCGCUGCAAAUCCAGCCGCCCUUUUGGUCUUUAUCUCAUCGGUUUUCCUCUCAGAUGAUGCGUUCGUGUGUUGCCGUUCCAGCUGCUUCAUCCUUCUUCUCAUCGCACGGGUUUAGCUCAAAGGAUUUCUGGGUUUCGUAAAAAGAGGGAGGAAGAUCUAAGGAAAAAGAACUGGAGUAAUCAAUAUGAGAACCCCCAGUCUGCUCAUCAAUCUGGGUUUGAGCAUGAGGAAAAAGGUGAUUUUGCAACCUCACCAAAGCAUUUCAAGACCACAACAAAAUGGUGCAAUUACAUCUAUUCCUGGACUUUGAAAUAGAAACAAGGCUUUUGAAUUGGUUAUUGCAGCUGACUGUUUGUGCUUGAAUAAAGGCUUGCCAUUGCCCUUGCUACUGUUGUGGGACAGAGCCAGUGUAUAUGUACAGAAGUUGCGGACAACACAGAAUGUUGACUGACUUUGAAGGUGCUACAAGAAAAAACGAAGUAGGGUUCCGCAUUUGGACUAGCAAAGAGGGUACUGGGAUGCUAGGGGGUUCUUUUUAUUCUCUUUUCCGCUGCAUAUUAUAACUUAGAUGGAUAUGCUUCAAGAAGUUCCACCAGUACCAGGUUGUUGGGAGGAAGCUCCCUAUGGCAUCUGAUGAGCACCCCAAGAUUUACCGAAUGAAGCUCUGGGCCACCAAUGAGGUUCGCGCCAAGUCGAAGUUCUGUAUUUCCUGAGGAAGCUGAAGAGGUCAAGAAGAGCAAUGGCCAAGUGCUUGCCACUAAUGAGUCAAUGUUGUUUUGCGAUGGGGAAGUGGUUCCUCCUCAACUCUCCUCCUGGCGAAAUCCAAUUUGUUGCCAAAGAUGUGAAGGAGGCUGCGUCAGAGGCACCCCCUCAAAAUGACCAGUCAAAUUGGAGACGUAUGUUUUCUUUUCUUUUUUUCUGUUUUUUUUUUCCCUUCAAAAUUGGAGCCUCCACUUUGCUGAAUAAAGGCUCCUCCUGGCUUUAGUGUUUCGUUUUGAUGAAUUUUGGGCUCUCACAUGUCUGCGAAAUUGCUAACCUUUCUUUUGUAUUGGGGUUCCAAUUUUCCAAAAUCAGUUCUCCCUAAGGUGAUAAGUUUUUCCUCUCUUUUUUACUUUUAACUCUGAGGUCUCUGUCCAAAACAAUUUUUUUUUUCAUAGUACGUUUUAUGCAAUGUACAGAUAUAUUAUAGGAAUGAAUCUGAGUUAUCUCCUCUGUUCAAGAAGGCAAAUUCAUAGGAAGGUUUAUGCUUCUUUGGCAAGAAGGCAAAUGCUGCAAGGAACCCAAAAAUACCAGGACUCUUCAUGCCUAACAGAAACCCAAUAGAUGACUGGUGGGAAUGUGACUCAAAUUGGCCAAACAACAGGCAGAGCUUAGCAGAUUGUGCAAUUGGGUUUGGCCAAUAUGCUCUUGGAGGCAAAGGUGACUGAGCCUCUCUGGAUUGUGUUCCCUGGCAACAUGCUCAUCAAGCUCUCCCAAGAGCUUAUCUUCAACAGCUACAAGACCCUUGAUCGCCGUGGAGCCAAUGUCCACAUUGUGGGCGGUGGUUGCAUCACAUUGCAGUUCAUAAGCAAUGUUAUCAUCCACAAUGUGCAUAUCCGCCACUGUUAUCCGUCAGGUGACGCUAAUGUGCAUUCAAGCCCACCCCACUACGGCUACGGCACAAAAUUAGACGGAUUUUGACUGGUAAAGGAUUGAUACUCAAUCAAAUAAAAGGCGAUUUCAAUCCCUCUUUCGUUAUCUUCUUGAGGAUGUUGCUCUGGAGCCCAAACGGUUGAAUAAAAUCCCUGUAGUUGAAAAACUCGGGAGCUUCUUAAGGCAAUUUCCUCUUUUUCCAAAUGCUUUUCUGGUUGGUGGUGCAGAAGACUUCUUUAUUAUUGAACUUGCAGUUCAGCUUCAAAAACUGAAGGUGGAACCAGCACAUAAAACUUCUCCAGGUGGUCUUUCGUUGUUUUGGAAUGAGCGGUUUGGUUGGUGUUUUCAGUUCUGUUAAGCAAGGGGUGAGUUUCUAGGGUGAAAUUUCAAUUAAUUGUUUUAAGUUUUGGGAAUAGAGCAUAGGAAUUAGCUAAUGGCAUCAAUUGACAAUUGGUUGGUGUUAAUUUGUUGUUGUAAUGAUAUGUUUAGAUGAUUACAAUAUUUGAACAUGUUGGUAAAUCCUUUUGAGUGUUUUGGCAAUUGGGUAGUUGAUAUGUUCCCUGUC